rnacentral:rRNA from 1 species
AUGCCUAAUACAUGCAAGUCGAACGCGUGGAGCGAUCCACGAGUGGCGGACGGGUGAGUAACGCGUGGGAACCUGCCCUUGAGUGCGGGAUAACCGAGGGAAACUUCGGCUAAUACCGCAUGCGCCCCCUUACGGGGGGAAAGAUUUAUCGCUCGAGGAGGGGCCCGCGUCGGAUUAGCUAGUUGGUGGGGUAACGGCCUACCAAGGCGAUGAUCCGUAGCUGGUCUGAGAGGAUGAUCAGCCACACUGGGACUGAGACACGGCCCAG